CAGCUCUCCGAGUGGUAGGGAUGAUUAUUGGGCUUAAAGCGUCCGUAGCCGGCUUAGCAAGUCUCCUGUUAAAUUCAGCGACCUAAUCGUUGAGCCGCGGGAGAUACUACUAGGCUAGGAGGCGGGAGAGGUCGACGGUACUUCUGGGGUAGGGGUGAAAUCCUAUAAUCCCAGGAGGACCACCAGUGGCGAAGGCUGUCGACUAGAACGCGCCCGACGGUGAGGGAUGAAAGCUGGGGGAGCGAACCGGAUUAGAUACCCGAGUAGUCC
rnacentral:rRNA from 1 species